rnacentral:tRNA from 1 species
GGGGCUGUAGCUCAGUGGCAGAGCACUUGCCUAGCAUGCAUGAGGCACGAGGUUCGAUCCUCAGCACCA